AGUGAACGCUGGCGGUAGGCCUAACACAUGCAAGUCGAACGGCAGCACAGUAAGAGCUUGCUCUUACGGGUGGCGAGUGGCGGACGGGUGAGGAAUACAUCGGAAUCUACUUUUUCGUGGGGGAUAACGUAGGGAAACUUACGCUAAUACCGCAUACGACCUACGGGUGAAAUCAGGGGAUCUUCGGACUUUGCGCGAUUGAAUGAGCCGAUGUCGGAUUAGCUAGUUGGCGGGGUAAAGGCCCACCAAGGCGACGAUCCGUAGCUGGUCUGAGAGGAUGAUCAGCCACACUGGAACUGAGACACGGUCCAGACUCCUACGGGAGGCAGCAGUGGGGAAUAUUGGACAAUGGGCGCAAGCCUGAUCCAGCAAUACCGCGUGGGUGAAGAAGGCCUUCGGGUUGUAAAGCCCUUUUGUUAGGAAAGAAAAGCAGCAGGUUAAUACCCCGCUGUUCUGACGGUACCCAAAGAAUAAGCACCGGCUAACUUCGUG
rnacentral:rRNA from 1 species